UGCACAGUAGAGAAAACACACUCUCUACAAUAAAUGGUGAUGGGAAAGUUGGACAGCUAUGUGUAGAAUGAAACUUGACCGUUCUCUUACACAUUACACAAAGAUAAACUCAGAAUGGAUGAAAGAUCUCAACUUAGACAGGAAUCCAUCAAAAUCCUAGAGGAGGACAUAGGUAGUAACCUCUUUAACAUUGGCCUUGGCAAAUUCUUUUGAGACA